AAUUUUUCGCAAUGGGGGAAACCCUGACGAAGCAACGCCGCGUGGAGGAUGAAGGCCUUCGGGUCGUAAACUCCUGUCGACCGGGAAGAAUGCACACGACCUAAUACGUCGGCGUGUUGACUGUACCGGUGGAGGAAGCCACGGCUAACUCUGUGCCAGCAGCCGCGGUAAAACGUAGGACGCAAACGUUAUCCGGAAUUACUGGGCGUAAAGAGCGUGUAGGCGGGUAAGUAAGUUGUCCGUGAAAGUUCCCGGCUAAACUGGGAGAGGUCGGAUAAGACUGCUUGCCUAGAGGGUGUUAGAGGGAUGCGGAAUUCCGGGUGUAGUGGUGAAAUGCGCAGAGAUCCGGAGGAACACCAGAGGCGAAGGCGGCAUCCUGGGACAUACCUGACGCUGAGACGCGAAAGCAUGGGGAGCGAA
rnacentral:rRNA from 1 species